GACGAACGCUGGCGGCGUGCUUAACACAUGCAAGUCGAGCGGAAAGGCCACUUCGGUGGUACUCGAGCGGCGAACGGGUGAGUAACACGUGAGUAAUCUGCCCCUGGCUUUGGGAUAGCCACCGGAAACGGUGAUUAAUACCGGAUAUGACCACUUCACGCAUGUGUUGGGGUGGAAAGUUUGUCGGCCAGGGAUGUGCUCGCGGCCUAUCAGCUUGAUGGUGAGGUAAUGGCUCACCAUGGCUUCGACGGGUAGCCGGCCUGAGAGGGUGACCGGUCACACUGGGACUGAGACACGGCCCAGACUCCUACGGGAGGCAGCAGUGGGGAAUAUUGGACAAUGGGCGGAAGCCUGAUCCAGCAACGCCGCGUGAGGGAUGACGGCCUUCGGGUUGUAAACCUCUUUCAGUACCGACGAAGCGUAAGUGACGGUAGGUACAGAAGAAGCACCGGCCAACUACGUGCCAGCAGCCGCAGUAAUAC
rnacentral:rRNA from 1 species